rnacentral:rRNA from 1 species
GACGUAGGGCGCGAGCGUUGUCCGGAUUUAUUGGGCGUAAAGAGCUCGUAGGCGGCUUGUCGCGUCGUUCGUGAAAACCUGCAGCUCAACUGCAGGCUUGCGGUCGAUACGGGCAGGCUAGAGUUCGGUAGGGGAGACUGGAAUUCCUGGUGUAGCGGUGAAAUGCGCAGAUAUCAGGAGGAACACCGGUGGCGAAGGCAGCUCUCUGGGACGGUACUGACGCUGAGACGCGAAAGCGUGGGGAGCGAACAGG